AUUGAACGCUGGCGGCAUGCCUUACACAUGCAAGUCGAACGGUAACAGGUCUUCGGAUGCUGACGAGUGGCGAACGGGUGAGUAAUACAUCGGAACGUGCCCGAUCGUGGGGGAUAACGAGGCGAAAGCUUUGCUAAUACCGCAUACGAUCUACGGAUGAAAGCGGGGGAUCUUCGGACCUCGCGCGGACGGAGCGGCCGAUGGCAGAUUAGGUAGUUGGUGGGAUAAAAGCUUACCAAGCCGACGAUCUGUAGCUGGUCUGAGAGGAUGAUCAGCCACACUGGGACUGAGACACGGCCCAGACUCCUACGGGAGGCAGCAGUGGGGAAUUUUGGACAAUGGGCGAAAGCCUGAUCCAGCCAUGCCGCGUGCAGGAUGAAGGCCUUCGGGUUGUAAACUGCUUUUGUACGGAACGAAAAGCCUCUUUCUAAUAAAGAGGGGUCAUGACGGUACCGUAAGAAUAAGCACCGGCUGACUACGUG
rnacentral:rRNA from 1 species